GCGCCGGUGGUGCGACGGUUAGCAUACGCUCCUGGAAAGAGUGAGAUCUGGGUUCGAAUCCUUCGAAUCCCGGCUGACGCA